UGCGGGGUGGAGCAGUCUGGUAGCUCGUCGGGCUCAUAACCCGAAGGUCGCAGGUUCGAAUCCUGUCCCCGCUACCA
rnacentral:tRNA from 2 species